UACAGAGGUGGCAAGCGUUGUUCGGAAUUACUGGGCGUAAAGGGCGCGCAGGCGGUCUUGCAAGUCCUGUGUGAAAUCCCCCGGCUCAACUGGGGAACUGCACAGGAAACUGCGAGGCUUGAGUUCGGGAGAGGGAAGCGGAAUUCCGGGUGUAGCGGUGAAAUGCGUAGAUAUCCGGAGGAACACCGGUGGCGAAGGCGGCUUCCUGGACCGACACUGACGCUGAGGCGCGAAAGCUAGGGGAG
rnacentral:rRNA from 1 species